GAUGAAGAACGCAGCGAAAUGCGAUAAGUAAUGUGAAUUGCAGAGUUCAGUGAAUCAUCGAAUCUUUGAACGCACAUUGCGCCCGUUAGUAUUCUGACGGGCAUGCCUGUCCGAGCGUCAUUGCUGCCCUCAAGCACGGCUUGUGUGUUGGGCCCCGUCCUCCGAUCCCGGGGGACGGGCCCGAAAGGCAGCGGCGGCACCGCGUCCGGUCCUCGAGCGUAUGGGGCUUUGUCACCCGCUCUGUAGGCCCGGCCGGCGCCUGCCGAUCAACCCAAAUUUUUUAUCCAGGUUGACCUCGGAUCAGGUAGGGAUACCCGCUGAACUUAAGCAUAUCAAUAAGCGGAGGA
rnacentral:misc_RNA from 1 species